AUUGAACGCUGGCGGCAGGCUUAACACAUGCAAGUCGAGCGGGGUGAUGGUGCUUGCACUAUCACUUAGCGGCGGACGGGUGAGUAAUGCUUAGGAAUCUGCCUAUUAGUGGGGGACAACAUCUCGAAAGGGAUGCUAAUACCGCAUACGUCCUACGGGAGAAAGCAGGGGAUCACUUGUGACCUUGCGCUAAUAGAUGAGCCUAAGUCGGAUUAGCUAGUUGGUGGGGUAAAGGCCUACCAAGGCGACGAUCUGUAGCGGGUCUGAGAGGACGAUCCGCCAAACUGGGACUGAGACACGGCCCAGACUCCGACGGGAGGCAGCAGUGGGGAAUAUUGGACAAUGGGGGGAACCCUGAUCCAGCCAUGCCGCGUGUGUGAAGAAGGCCUUAUGGUUGUAAAGCACUUUAAGCGAGGAGGAGGCUCUUUUGGUUAAUACCCAAGAUGAGUGGACGUUACUCGCAGAAUAAGCACCGGCUAACUCUGUGCCAGCCGCCGCGGUAA
rnacentral:rRNA from 1 species